UCACUACAAGAAAAAGAGGAUACAGCGACGUUUUUUUUAUGACGUUUUUCGAAAACGUUGUGAAAUCUGUCCAGAUUUUUCAAAUUUCAAAAACAAUUAAACUAAACAUCUAGUUUUGUGCGCUGGUUAUUUUUUUUAAACAGUGGCUCAAGGCUAUUUUAUUUUGAUUGAACAGAGGCAUUGAACAGAGGCGUGACUUUAGGAAGAGAGAGAAAUCGAGGCCUUGGAUCUUCGAGGCAUCGGAGCUUGGAUCUCCAUCAAUUCUUCAGUUGCUUGAUCUGAAAAAUCUUGUUCUACUCUUGAUUUGAGCGUAUAUCUUCCUGAUUGCGCGAAGCCCUAAGAUCUAAAUCGAUCUAGGGCUCAAUGUUAGGGAUUUCUGCAGCAUAUAUCUUCCAGAUUGUUUGAAUCCCUAUGAUCUAAAUCGAUCUAGGGCUUAAGUCCUUGUAUGGAAAACUCUUCUCUUUCAUCAAAUUGAGCAGCAGCAAUAGUGAAUCGAUUUAUCUAGGGUUUCGAGUGCGGUGUUAGUGUCUCUGAUCAUUUACGGGACAAGCAAGUGGCGUUGGAUGUGGAUCGUUGGAAACAGUGAGUAGAAGCUCAAUGAUGAAGAGAUGCAGAUCUGCUCUCUCUUCGAUUAGGUCUGUUUUCUCUCUCUCUCUCUCUCUCUCUGUGAUCUGCUAACAUGGUAAUAUCAUAUCUGCUUUGUCUCUUUCUAGUCCAUUAUUUUGCCUUUUUUAGGAAUCUCAUUCUAGCAUUUCUUGCUUUCUAACUCUCCUAAUAAUCAGGUGUAGAGUUCCCAUGUAAAAGUUUAAAAGAAAGCUUGCCCGUGUGACAUUUUUUUUUUUUUUUUGAGUCUUAUUAAUUAGUGUCCUAAGUGAGAUCAUUGAUUAACAAAGCUUUUAUGUCAAUGAGCCCAAUAAGUUUGAUGAACAAAACAGCCUAUGAUAUAAACCAUAUAGCAACUACGAAAGACAAAUACACUGACCGAUGGAGGAAAUGGAAAUAUAAUAUAUGUUCCACAAGUUUUGGCAUAUUUUGAAAGUUAUUUCUUAUUUUUUCUUAUUUGGGCUGUCAAAGGAGUUGCAUAUAUUUGGCUAGGUCAUGAAUAAAAUCAAAAAAACUUGAAGGUGAGAUUUUCAUCAAUAAUAAUAUAAGUUUUGUAUACUUACAUAUUUUCUAAUUUGUAAUUAAAAAUUCAAAUUUCCCACUUUUAAAAUUAAUUAGUAUCACAUCAUUUUGUGUGGGAUUUAAGUAUUGAAUAUUGCUUGUGCACCAUAUUUCCUUGUUCAAUGUUUUGAUAAGAAAAAUAACUCUAUUGUUGAGAAGAAAAUCAAGGCUUGUAAAGCAAGAUCAUUCUUAGAACAAAGCAGAGUACACUCCCAUUUCCAAAAAUUCAAACACACCUAAAGGGAACAAAAGUCGCAAGUACAAGUAAUUAUCCUGUAUUUUAGGAAUGCCAUGUUCAUGGUCCCCAAAAAAAAAGAAGUUGACUGCCAGAACUCUCAAUUCAUGGAAAGGCUUUAUGACAACAAAAAAAGAUGGAAAAAUUCAAAUAUUGUAUCAUAUACAGAUUGGUGACCCUGGCUUAUCAAAGGUAAAACAGCACACUUUAGUGUCAAGGGGUGUUUGUAGAACCUUACCUUGGAUGGCACCUGAACCUCUUAGUGGAAAGAGUAACAUGGUUACAGAAAAGGCUGCGAGAUGAAAAUGGUCACAUUAUUGAGCACACUGAGGUAAGAUUUCCAAGUGUUGGAACUGAAACUGACAUUGAGAUUUUCUGGGGUGUAAUAUGCAGUAAUUUAGUGGCCAAUAACUUCACAGUGGAAAGUUCAAACAACAGUGUUCUGCCUUCUGGAUUGAGGUGUCUUCAAAGGAAUUUUCCCUGUAACCGCAAUUCUUCUAUCUUGCCUUGAUCUUCUGGAUAAAGAAAUAGAACUAAAAUCAAAGAAAGUGGGUCGUGGAGUUAGCACUGGUGGAGGGCAGAGUUCAUUAGAAUACUUGUUUGGGGGCGGAGAGACUACCAACAAUCCUCGUCCUGUGCGGAGCCAGGGGCAGGGAUCAAAUAAUGGGCCUCCCCAGAAGCCUACUGCUACUUCACAGCCAGCGGAUAACACUACUAGCAUUUGAAUGAGUGAUGUGAGAUUGUGGGUUGAGUGAGGCUCUAUCUCUGAGUUCUAGUACUUGGCAUCCACUACUUUGAGGAUAGUUCGUCCAGCUAUGACUAGAUGUUGUUGCCUCUACAGUGCUCUGCCUCUUCUAUCUACAGAUUCUCUGUUGUUACUACUGGAUUUAGAAAG